rnacentral:rRNA from 1 species
UACGUAGGGUGCAAGCGUUAAUCGGAAUUACUGGGCGUAAAGCGUGCGCAGGCGGUUGUGCAAGACAGAUGUGAAAUCCCCGGGCUCAACCUGGGAAUUGCAUUUGUGACUGCACGGCUAGAGUGUGUCAGAGGGGGGGUAGAAUUCCACGUGUAGCAGUGGAAUGCGUAGAGAUGUGGAGGAAUACCGAUGGCGAAGGCAGCCCCCUGGGAUAACACUGACGCUCAUGCACGAAAGCGUGGGGAGCAAACAGG